GCAUAAUCCAAAGCGACUUAGAGUUGUGACAGUAUAAAGUCUAAGCCAUUGAGAGUCAAGGGUCUUGCUCAAGGGUCCAACAGUGGCAACUUGGUGGUGGUGGUGGGGCUUGAACCAGCAACUUUCUGAUUAAUAGUACAGUACCUUUUUUUUUUUCUAUUUUUAAUUUUAUAUUUCCCCCCAAAUUUUCUCCCCUAAUCUAGUCGUGUCCAAUUACCCUGAUUGCAUCCUCCACUGAUUCAACCCUCCACCGCUGACUGAGGACGCUUCUCAACUGACACACACCCCCUCCGACACGUGCUCAGUACAGACUGCAUUUUUCACCUGCACGAUUCGAGUUUAUACAUACAGAUCAGCACUGUGCGCGGAGAGCCACACCCUGAUCAGCAUUAUUCCUCAGCCCUGUGCAGGCGCCUUCACGUAAUUGCACCAGUUAUGAGGACCCAUGAUCUGUAGCAGCAACAAAUUUAUUUCAUCAUCUUAAUCAAUUGUUACGGCCUAGUCUAGGUUAGGCUGCAACACAUAUAAGGAAAAUGGUAUAGUUAGGGGAAAAUAGACCACCAAGAACAAAAGAGUAAGUUUUAACCAAGUGUAUUUACAAUUGUGAGACAAAGCAAACCAGUAUACCUUCAGGAGUGACCCAGGCCAAAAUAACAAACAAAACACACACUAUCUAAUGUACCCACUAAAACUAGCUUCCCUAAAACAAAAGAAGAAUUAAAAUAAAAGACAAAGUACUUCCCUAACUCCCUACCUAACAUAAACAGAGCACAUAACAUAGAUGACAAACAAAAUGGCAGCCACUCCCUACCACUGGUGUACAAACAACAUAGCUAUAUACAAGUGAAUUAUUUACAUAGCAAUCUAAAUCCAAAUCAGUAAGCUUUCUCAGUAGUCACAAAUACAGGUAAAAUGGUCAUACACAGGCAACAAGGCAAUAGGCAACAGGCAAAUUUAAACAAGCAAAAGGCAAUGGGCAAAAAGGCAAACACACACAACAAGCUCCAAACAAAAGAGAGAGAGCGAGGCGGGGCUCCUCAGCUCCUUUUAAAGGUGAAUGGCAGAGAUGAAGACCUGGGGUGGAUCUGAUCCAGGAGGGUAGGAGGUAGACUCUGGACUGGAUCCUGGAACACAUAUAUACAUAUACAUAUACAACACAACAUUUUAUGGACAUGACACCUCCCCCCAUAAAGUUGAACUUUACAAAAGUUCAUUCAAGGGGUCAUAACAACGUGACAAGGCAUCAGCUACAAUAUUUUCAGAGCCCUUUCUGUGAAGGAUAACCAAAUUAAAACCUUGAAUAAUUAGCGACCAGCGCAUAAGGCGUUGGUUUGUGUUUGACAUGCGUUGAAGAAAAACCAGGGGAUUGUGAUAUGUGUAAACUGUGAUGGGAACCAAACUACUACCUAAAUAAACCUCGAAAUGUUGCAAGGCGAGAAGAAGAGCUAAAGCCUCUUUCUCGAUGGUACUAUAAGCAAGUUGGUGUUUGAUGAAUUUUCGGGAGAAAUAACAAAUAGGAUGAUCAAUUUGGUGAUUGUCCUCUUGUAAUAGGACAGCGCCGGCACCCGUUUUGCUAGCGUCCACUUCCAUUUUAAACGGCUUAUCAAAAUCAGGUGUGGCAAGAACAGGAGAACUACUCAAUAAAGCCUUCAAGGAAUCAAAAGCAGAUUUGCAAGCAGAGGACCAGACAAACGGGACAUUCUUACCUAAAAGGUGCUGGGAAGGAGCUAAUAGCUUGGAUCUUUGCAUCAAGAGGUCGUACAGUACCAUUACCAACAGUUUUUCCAAGGAGCAUAUUCCAAUAUUGAGGCGACAGCUAACACCUUAGGCGAAGAAGGUGAGGGCAAAGACCCAGAAAGAUCGCCCGUAUCAAUGGAACUGCGAUCAAGGUAGGGUUUCAACAAAUUCACAUGACAUAUGCGAGUCUUACUACGGCGAUCUGGAGUUGCUAAUAUAUAGUUACUGUCAGUUUGCUUUUCAAUUAUUUUAUAGGGACCGGAGAAUCUGGUUUGCAAAGCGAAACCAGCAACAGGUAAAAGUGCCAGGACCCGAUCCCCAAUGUUAAAUGUGCGACUGACUGCCUUGAUAUCGAAGUGACCAGAGAGAUGGUGAUCAUGAGCCAAAGACAAAACUAAGGACCUGUAUGGAAGAGGAACCACAAUCUGUUUAACAGUCUCACAUUCACUGCUUGAACUUACAGGAGACCAGGACCUCAUCAAUACUCCAUCCUUAAUAAAGUAUUGUGAACGAC